AAUAAUUUAGUUUAAAUAAAACAAUAGUUUGUGGAACUAUAAAUUCUAACAUUAUAU
rnacentral:tRNA from 1 species